rnacentral:rRNA from 1 species
GACGAACGCUGGCGGCGUGCUUAACACAUGCAAGUCGAACGGAAAGGCCCUGCUUUUGUGGGGUGCUCGAGUGGCGAACAGGUGAGUAACACGUGAGUAACCUGCCCUUGACUUUGGGAUAACUUCAGGAAACUGGGGCUAAUACCGGAUAGGAGCUCCUGCUGCAUGGUGGGGGUUGGAAAGUUUCGGCGGUUGGGGAUGGACUCGCGGCUUAUCAGCUUGUUGGUGGGGUAGUGGCUUACCAAGGCUUUGACGGGUAGCCGGCCUGAGAGGGUGACCGGCCACAUUGGGACUGCGAUACGGCCCAGACUCCUACGGGAGGCAGCAGUGGGGAAUAUUGCACCAUGGGCGGAAGCCUGAUGCAGCAACGCCGCGUGCGGGAUGACGGCCUUCGGGUUGUAAACCGCUUUCGCCUGUGACGAAGCGUGAGUGACGGUAAUGGGUAAAGAAGCACCGGCUAACUACGUG